CUAUCAGCUUUGGAUGGUAGGAUAUGGGCCUACCAUGGCGUUAACGGGUAACGGGGAAUUAGGGUUUGAUUCCGGAGAGGGAGCCUUAGAAACGGCUACCACAUCUAAGGAAGGCAGCAGGCGCGUAAAUUACCCAAUCCUGACACAGGGAGGUAGUGACAAUAAAUAACAAUGCUCUGGCUCUUCGAGUCGGGCAAUUGGAAUGAGAACAAUUUAAAUCCCUCAUCGAGGAUCAAUUGGAGGGCAAGUCUGGUGCCAGCAGCCGCGGUAAUUCCAGCUCCAAUAGCGUAUAUUAAAGUUGUUGCAGUUAAAAAGCUCGUAGUUGGAUUUCUGCUUUGAGCGUCCGGUCCGCUCCUUUGGAGUGUGUUACUAGGAUGGUUGAGGCAUUUUUUGUGAGGACGCCCUUCUGCCAUUCAGUUGGUGGUUGGAUGGACUUGCAUCGUUUACUGUGAAAAAAUUAG
rnacentral:rRNA from 2 species